UACAGAGGGGGCGAGCGUUGUUCGGAAUUACUGGGCGUAAAGGGCGCGUCGGCGGCCUUCUAAGUCGAACGUGAAAUCCCCGGGCUCAACCCGGGAACUGCGUCCGAUACUGGGAGGCUUGAAUCCGGGAGAGGGAUGUGGAAUUCCAGGUGUAGCGGUGAAAUGCGUAGAUAUCUGGAGGAACACCGGUGGCGAAGGCGGCAUCCUGGACCAUUACUGACGCUGAGGCGCGAAAGCUAGGGGAGCAAACGGG
rnacentral:rRNA from 1 species